rnacentral:rRNA from 1 species
UCCGCGUUGUAAUCUCGAGACGUGUUUUCCGUGCGGCUCUAUGGACAAGUCCCUUGGAACAGGGCAUCGUAGAGGGUGAAAAUCCCGUACUUGCCAUGGAAGUACCGUGCUUUGUGAUACACGCUCCAAGAGUCGAGUAGUUUGGGAUUGCUGCUCAAAGUGGGUGGUAGACUCCAUCUAAAGCUAAAUAUCGGGGAGAGACCGAUAGCGAACAAGUACCGUGAGGGAAAGAUGAAAAGCACUUUGGAAAGAGAGUUAAAAGUACGUGAAAUUGUCGAAAGGGAAGCACUUGAAGUCAGCCAUGCUGCUUGAGACUCAGCCUGGCCUUUGGGCUUGGUGUAUUUCUCGGUGGCAAGCCAGCAUUGGUUUGGGUCGUCGGAGAAGCGCAUAGGGAAUGUAGCGUUUCCGGACGUGUUAUAGCCUUAUGCAGGAUACGACGACCUGGAUCAAGGAACGCAGCG